AGGGAGAGAGAAGAAGAAGAAGAGAAAAGAGGGAGCAUGGGAAAAGAAAGAAAGUAAGGAAAAGAAAAGGAAGAAGAGAGAGAUGAAAAGAGGAAAAAGAAGGAAAACAUAAGUGAAGGAGAGUAAAGCUAUAGAAUGGUGUGAGUUUCGAUUUGGGUGUUAGAAGAAGAAGAAGAAAGAGAUGAACAAAGGAGAAUGGGAAACGGAACUGUGGGAAGGCAAAGGGAGGAAGAUUUCAUAAGUGAAGGGUUUCCAUUUGGGCUGUUCAGUAUAUAUGGUUGUUUUGCUAUAGGGAGUGCCCUCUAGACUUGAAAGAAGCAAUAUCCAGUGUGUGUUUUGCUGCACCAAGAUGUGUUGAUCUGCCAGAGUUGCUUCAAGUUCAAAUGCUAUUAUUUGUAUCUAAAUAUGGGAAAGAAUUUGUACCAGCUGCAAUAGAACUAAUGCCAGAUUGUGGUGUCAAUUGCCAGGUUUUAUCAUCUUCUAAUAGUAUACCGGUUUUCCUUGAUAUUCAUCUUGUAGUGCACUAAAUUGUGAGGACAGUAGUUGUUCUAUAUAGGUUUCUACUCUAAAGUUAUGAUACUGCACUUUUACUGCAGUUGAUAGAGCUGAGUGAUGUAUUUGUGUCAUGACUUCCCUGUGGAUGACUGCAAGGAAAUGGAUUUAGUUGCUAGUCUAUUAAAAAAAAAAAAAAAAAGCUCUGUUGCUAGUCUACCUCACAGUUUUUGUGAUAUCCCUCAUCCAAUUUAUAUCUCUUCUUUUGUGUUUGGGUUUACAUUUUUAUAAGCCUUGUUAAAGGUUUAUUUCUUUUACUUAUUUAGUUAGGUGCUAUUGUUUUACUUGGUUAGUUGGUUUUGUCUUUCAGUUUGUCAAUUACUUAGAUUAUUAGAUAUUAAGUUUAUUUCUCUUUUUUAGUUUGUUUUGGGGUGUGGGCUUUUAUUUGAAAAGGAGAAGUUCCGUUUUUGGUGGCCGAGAAGAAGAAAGAAAAAGAAAAAAAAAAGAGAAAAAAGAAAAGAAAAGAAAGAUGGGUCGGCAAAGUGAUGAGAAAGAAGGAAAUAGAGGGAGGUGAAGAAAGAAAGAGUAACAAGGGAAAGAAAGAGGAAAGACAGAAAGAAAGAGAGGAGCAGAUGGAAAAGUCGAUGACAGAGAGAAGAGGAGAAAAAAAGAAAAGAAGAAGGAAUAGGAAGAGGGAAGAAGAAUACUUUUUUUCCAGAGGGGAUCAGAAAUGAGA